rnacentral:rRNA from 1 species
GAUGAACGCUGGCGGCGUGCCUAAUACGUGCAAGUCGAGCGAACGGACGAGAAGCUUGCUUCUCUGAUGUUAGCGGCGGACGGGUGAGUAACACGUGGAUAACCUACCUAUAAGACUGGGAUAACUUCGGGAAACCGGAGCUAAUACCGGAUAAUAUUUUGAACCGCAUGGUUCAAAAGUGAAAGACGGUCUUGCUGUCACUUAUAGAUGGAUCCGCGCUGCAUUAGCUAGUUGGUAAGGUAACGGCUUACCAAGGCAACGAUGCAUAGCCGACCUGAGAGGGUGAUCGGCCACACUGGAACUGAGACACGGUCCAGACUCCUACGGGAGGCAGCAGUAGGGAAUCUUCCGCAAUGGGCGAAAGCCUGACGGAGCAACGCCGCGUGAGUGAUGAAGGUCUUCGGAUCGUANAACUCUGUUAUUAGGGAAGAACAUAUGUGUAAGUAACUGUGCACAUCUUGACGGUACCUAAUCAGAAAGCCACGGCUAACUACGUGCCAGCAGCCGCGGUAAUACGUAGGUGGCAAGCGUUAUCCCGGAUUAUUGGGCGUAAAGCGCGCGUAGCGGUUUUUUAGUCUGAUGUGAAAGCCCACGGCUCAACCGUGGAGGGUCAUUGGAAACUGGAAAACUUGAGUGCAGAAGAGGAAAGUGGAAUUCCAUGUGUAGCGGUGAAAUGCGCAGAGAUAUGGAGGAACACCAGUGGCGAAGGCGACUUUCUGGUCUGUAACUGACGCUGAUGUGCGAAAGCGUGGGGAUCAAACAGGAUUAGAUACCCUGGUAGUCCACGCCGUAAACGAUGAGUGCUAAGUGUUAGGGGGUUUCCGCCCCUUAGUGCUGCAGCUAACGCAUUAAGCACUCCGCCUGGGGAGUACGACCGCAAGGUUGAAACUCAAAGGAAUUGACGGGGACCCGCACAAGCGGUGGAGCAUGUGGUUUAAUUCGAAGCAACGCGAAGAACCUUACCAAAUCUUGACAUCCUUUGACAACUCUAGAGAUAGAGCCUUCCCCUUCGGGGGACAAAGUGACAGGUGGUGCAUGGUUGUCGUCAGCUCGUGUCGUGAGAUGUUGGGUUAAGUCCCGCAACGAGCGCAACCCUUAAGCUUAGUUGCCAUCAUUAAGUUGGGCACUCUAAGUUGACUGCCGGUGACAAACCGGAGGAAGGUGGGGAUGACGUCAAAUCAUCAUGCCCCUUAUGAUUUGGGCUACACACGUGCUACAAUGGACAAUACAAAGGGCAGCGAAACCGCGAGGUCAAGCAAAUCCCAUAAAGUUGUUCUCAGUUCGGAUUGUAGUCUGCAACUCGACUACAUGAAGCUGGAAUCGCUAGUAAUCGUAGAUCAGCAUGCUACGGUGAAUACGUUCCCGGGUCU